rnacentral:rRNA from 1 species
UGGGGAAUAUUGGACAAUGGGCGAAAGCCUGAUCCAGCCAUGCCGCGUGUGUGAAGAAGGUCUUCGGAUUGUAAAGCACUUUAAGUUGGGAGGAAGGGCAGUAAGCGAAUACCUUGCUGUUUUGACGUUACCGACAGAAUAAGCACCGGCUAACUCUGUGCCAGCAGCCGCGGUAAUACAGAGGGUGCAAGCGUUAAUCGGAAUUACUGGGCGUAAAGCGCGCGUAGGUGGUUCGUUAAGUUGAAUGUGAAAGCCCCGGGCUCAACCUGGGAACUGCAUCCAAAACUGGCGGGCUAGAGUAGGGCAGAGGGUGGUGGAAUUUCCUGUGUAGCGGUGAAAUGCGUAGAUAUAGGAAGGAACACCAGUGGCGAAGGCGACCACCUGGGCUCAUACUGACAAUGAGGUGCGAAAGCGUGGGGAGCAAACAGG